rnacentral:misc_RNA from 1 species
AAAUUGCCUUCAUUUAAGUAAAGUGAUUCUCUUUGUCUUAAUUUUGAGAGGGGAGUGUUCAGUAUAGGAUUUGACAGAAUUUACAUGUAUAAUUAGUUAUUGGCUUGAUUUUCCUCUGAACAUAUGAUUACACUUGUAUCAUAGCCAUGAACAGAAUGCGUGAUGUUGUCAAUGUAUUAUUUCCAGCAAAAGUGUAUCGAGACAUAGUCGGAAGUGCAUACUAUGUUGCUCCU